GGUGGAUUUUAAUAAAUAUCCGGAUGGGCGAAAUGCUGAAAUACACCCGCCGCGUGAGUAAGCAAGGGUUUCGGAUCUUAUACUCUGUUGAAAGGGAAGAACACGUACAAUAGUAAAUGCUCGUUUGCUGACGGAAACUUAUCAUAAAGACACGGCUAUCUACGUGUGAGCAGCCGGAGCAUUUGUACGUGGCUAGCGUUUACGGAAUGAUUGGGCGCACAGCGCGCGGAGGCUUCAUCUCUCUUCUAUGUUAAAGUCCAAGGCUUAACCUUGGAGGGUCAUUGGUUACUGUACAACUCUAGUACAGAAAUGGAAAGAUACUUUUCACGUGUAGCGGCGAAAUGCGUAAAGAUGUGGAGGAAUCCCCCAGGAGAACGCCGGCUUCUGGACUGAAACUGACCCUGAGGCUUCUAAUCGCGGCCGUAAAUAGGAUUAUAACUCUGAAAGUCCUCCCCGUUUACAAUGAGUGCUAUUUGUCAGGGGGUUUCCCCCCCUUAGUGAUGCACCUAACGCAUUUAACCCCUCCGUCUGUUGACUACCUGUCGUAAGGCUGAAAACUCAAAUGAAAUCGACCG
rnacentral:rRNA from 1 species